UGCUACUGUGAUGACACUUAUUUGCUACUCUUGACUGUGAGGAUGACGAGAGAGCUUACCACCAAUAUAUGUUCUGAGGCA